rnacentral:rRNA from 1 species
GUAGGUGCGCGGAUCUUCAGAGAUUAGAGUUUGAUCAUGGCUCAGAUUGAACGCUGGCGGAAUGCUUUACACAUGCAAGUCGAACGGCAGCACGGGAGCUUGCUCCUGGUGGCGAGUGGCGAACGGGUGAGUAACAUAUCGGAACGUACCUAGUAAUGGGGGAUAACUAGUCGAAAGAUUAGCUAAUACCGCAUACGCCCUGAGGGGGAAAGCGGGGGAUCGUAAGACCUCGCGUUAUUAGAGCGGCCGAUAUCUGAUUAGCUAGUUGGUGGGGUAAAAGCCUACCAAGGCGACGAUCAGUAGCUGGUCUGAGAGGACGACCAGCCACACUGGAACUGAGACACGGUCCAGACUCCUACGGGAGGCAGCAGUGGGGAAUUUUGGACAAUGGGCGCAAGCCUGAUCCAGCCAUUCCGCGUGAGUGAAGAAGGCCUUCGGGUUGUAAAGCUCUUUCGCAAGGGAAGAAACGAUGCAGUCGAAUAAACUGCGUUAAUGACGGUACCUUGAUAAGAAGCACCGGCUAACUACGUGCCAGCAGCCGCGGUAAUACGUAGGGUGCGAGCGUUAAUCGGAAUUACUGGGCGUAAAGCGUGCGCAGGCGGUUUUGUAAGUCAGAUGUGAAAUCCCCGGGCUCAACCUGGGAACUGCGUUUGAAACUACAAGGCUAGAGUGUAGCAGAGGGGGGUAGAAUUCCACGUGUAGCAGUGAAAUGCGUAGAGAUGUGGAGGAAUACCAAUGGCGAAGGCAGCCCCCUGGGUUAACACUGACGCUCAUGCACGAAAGCGUGGGGAGCAAACAGGAUUAGAUACCCUGGUAGUCCACGCCCUAAACGAUGUCUACUAGUUGUUGGUGGAGUAAAAUCCAUUAGUAACGCAGCUAACGCGUGAAGUAGACCGCCUGGGGAGUACGGUCGCAAGAUUAAAACUCAAAGGAAUUGACGGGGGCCCGCACAAGCGGUGGAUUAUGUGGAUUAAUUCGAUGCAACGCGAAAACCUUACCUGGCCUUGACAUGUACGGAACUUUCCAGAGAUGGAUUGGUGG